UUUGGUUAAGUUAGAAAGGGCGCACGGUGGAUGCCUUGACACUAGGAGUCGAUGAAGGACGGGACUAACGCCGAUAUGCUUCGGGGAGCUGUAAGUAAGCUUUGAUCCGAAGAUUUCCGAAUGGGGAAACCCACCAUACGUAAUGGUAUGGUAUCCUUAUCUGAAUACAUAGGGUAAGGAAGACAGACCCAGGGAACUGAAACAUCUAAGUACCUGGAGGAAGAGAAAGCAAAUGCGAUUUCCUGAGUAGCGGCGAGCGAAACGGAACAUAGCCCAAACCAAGAGGCUUGCCUCUUGGGGUUGUAGGACAUUCUAUACGGAGUUACAAAGGAACGAGGUAGACGAAGCGACCUGGAAAGGUCCGUCGUAGAGGGUAACAACCCCGUAGUCGAAACUUCGUUCUCUCUUGAAUGUAUCCUGAGUACGGCGGAACACGUGAAAUUCCGUCGGAAUCUGGGAGGACCAUCUCCCAAGGCUAAAUACUCCCUAGUGAUCGAUAGUGAACCAGUACCGUGAGGGAAAGGUGAAAAGCACCCCGGAAGGGGAGUGAAAGAGAUCCUGAAACCGUGUGCCUACAAAUAGUCAGAGCCCGUUAACGGGUGAUGGCGUGCCUUUUGUAGAAUGAACCGGCGAGUUACGAUCCCGUGCGAGGUUAAGCUGAAGAGGCGGAGCCGCAGCGAAAGCGAGUCUGAAUAGGGCGUUUAGUACGUGGUCGUAGACCCGAAACCAGGUGAUCUACCCAUGUCCAGGGUGAAGUUCAGGUAACACUGAAUGGAGGCCCGAACCCACGCACGUUGAAAAGUGCGGGGAUGAGGUGUGGGUAGCGGAGAAAUUCCAAUCGAACCUGGAGAUAGCUGGUUCUCCCCGAAAUAGCUUUAGGGCUAGCCUUAAGUGUAAGAGUCUUGGAGGUAGAGCACUGAUUGGACUAGGGGUCCUCAUCGGAUUACCGAAUUCAGUCAAACUCCGAAUGCCAAUGACUUAUCCUUAGGAGUCAGACUGCGAGUGAUAAGAUCCGUAGUCAAAAGGGAAACAGCCCAGACCGCCAGCUAAGGUCCCAAAGUGUGUAUUAAGUGGAAAAGGAUGUGGAGUUGCUUAGACAACUAGGAUGUUGGCUUAGAAGCAGCCACCAUUUAAAGAGUGCGUAAUAGCUCACUAGUCGAGUGACUCUGCGCCGAAAAUGUACCGGGGCUAAAUACACCACCGAAGCUGCGGAUUGAUACCAAUGGUAUCAGUGGUAGGGGAGCGUUCUAAGGACAGUGAAGUCAGACCGGAAGGACUGGUGGAGUGCUUAGAAGUGAGAAUGCCGGUAUGAGUAGCGAAAGACGGGUGAGAAUCCCGUCCACCGAAUGCCUAAGGUUUCCUGAGGAAGGCUCGUCCGCUCAGGGUUAGUCAGGACCUAAGCCGAGGCCGACAGGCGUAGGCGAUGGACAACAGGUUGAUAUUCCUGUACCACCUCUUUAUCGUUUGAGCAAUGGAGGGACGCAGAAGGAUAGAAGAAGCGUGCGAUUGGUUGUGCACGUCCAAGCAGUUAGGCUGAUAAGUAGGCAAAUCCGCUUAUCGUGAAGGCUGAGCUGUGAUGGGGAAGCUCCUUAUGGAGCGAAGUCUUUGAUUCCCCGCUGCCAAGAAAAGCUUCUAGCGAGAUAAAAGGUGCCUGUACCGCAAACCGACACAGGUAGGCGAGGAGAGAAUCCUAAGGUGUGCGAGAGAACUCUGGUUAAGGAACUCGGCAAAAUGACCCCGUAACUUCGGGAGAAGGGGUGCUUUCUUAACGGAAAGCCGCAGUGAAUAGGCCCAAGCGACUGUUUAGCAAAAACACAGCUCUCUGCGAAGCCGUAAGGCGAAGUAUAGGGGGUGACACCUGCCCGGUGCUGGAAGGUUAAGGAGAGGGGUUAGCGUAAGCGAAGCUCUGAACUGAAGCCCCAGUAAACGGCGGCCGUAACUAUAACGGUCCUAAGGUAGCGAAAUUCCUUGUCGGGUAAGUUCCGACCCGCACGAAAGGUGUAACGAUUUGGGCACUGUCUCAACCAGAGACUCGGUGAAAUUAUAGUACCUGUGAAGAUGCAGGUUACCCGCGACAGGACGGAAAGACCCCGUGGAGCUUUACUGUAGCCUGAUAUUGAAUUUUGGUACAGUUUGUACAGGAUAGGCGGGAGCCUUUGAAACCGGAGCGCUAGCUUCGGUGGAGGCGCUGGUGGGAUACCGCCCUGACUGUAUUGAAAUUCUAACCUACGGGUCUUAUCGACCCGGGAGACAGUGUCAGGUGGGCAGUUUGACUGGGGCGGUCGCCUCCUAAAGUGUAACGGAGGCGCCCAAAGGUUCCCUCAGAAUGGUUGGAAAUCAUUCGUAGAGUGCAAAGGCAUAAGGGAGCUUGACUGCGAGACCUACAAGUCGAGCAGGGACGAAAGUCGGGCUUAGUGAUCCGGUGGUUCCGCAUGGAAGGGCCAUCGCUCAACGGAUAAAAGCUACCCCGGGGAUAACAGGCUUAUCUCCCCCAAGAGUCCACAUCGACGGGGAGGUUUGGCACCUCGAUGUCGGCUCAUCGCAUCCUGGGGCUGUAGUCGGUCCCAAGGGUUGGGCUGUUCGCCCAUUAAAGCGGUACGCGAGCUGGGUUCAGAACGUCGUGAGACAGUUCGGUCCCUAUCCGUCGUGGGCGUAGGAAAUUUGAGAGGAGCUGUCCUUAGUACGAGAGGACCGGGAUGGACGCACCGCUGGUGUACCAGUUGUUCUGCCAAGGGCAUAGCUGGGUAGCUAUGUGCGGAAGGGAUAAGUGCUGAAAGCAUCUAAGCAUGAAGUCCCCCUCAAGAUGAGAUUUCCCAUAGCGUAAGCUAGUAAGAUCCCUGAAAGAUGAUCAGGUUGAUAGGUUCGAGGUGGAAGCAUGGUGACAUGUGGAGCUGACGAAUACUAAUAGAUCGAGGACUUAACCAUAUAA
rnacentral:rRNA from 1 species